AAUAAGUGAAGUUUUACACUCUUCAUAUCUAACGUUCGACCGUUCAUCUUAUUUGAAAUUUUGUUAUGAUCAAUAUUUUUAUUGUUAUUAGAUAAUAAAACAUGGAUAGUACUUUAUGUGUGAUUAUUUUUUUUCAUAAAUAUUUCAAAUAAGAUGAACGGUCAAACGUUGGAUACGGAUAUUCACGGAUGCACUUAUU
rfam:Oryza punctata chromosome 8, whole genome shotgun sequence.